UCUGGAAAAGCCAAACGUGACGAAAAUGUGAGUCGCCGAGGACAGAAGGUGGAGGUCAAGCAUUCGUCAUGGCUUUUGGAGGGACGGGUAAAUGAGGAGGCUUUGUCUCUCAACCCACACACCCUCCAGGGGUCAGCAGCAAACCGGACGUCCCACAGCUGACUAUAUAGGCCAUACUCUGUUCUGCCUUCCAGCAAAACAAGACCGUACUGGACACAACAAGAAGUCAAAAACAGAAAUGAAACAGAAAGAAGAUUGACUUCGAUGCCCUUCUCUGGAAGGACCAUGGGAAUGUGGAGUCAGCUGACUUCAGUCCAACAAGGGCCCGAGUUUCCGCUGGUUACAGUUUGGCCAUGAUCCCAAUAAACAUCGCAAACGGU